rnacentral:rRNA from 1 species
AGUGAACGCUGGCGGUAGGCCUAACACAUGCAAGUCGAACGGCAGCACAGUAAGAGCUUGCUCUUACGGGUGGCGAGUGGCGGACGGGUGAGGAAUACAUCGGAAUCUACUUUUUCGUGGGGGAUAACGUAGGGAAACUUACGCUAAUACCUCAUACGACCUACGGGUGAAAGCAGGGGAUCUUCGGACCUUGCGCGAUUGAAUGAGCCGAUGUCGGAUUAGCUAGUUGGCGGGGUAAAGGCCCACCAAGGCGACGAUCCGUAGCUGGUCUGAGAUGAGGAGAGGCCCCAGUGGAGCUGAGAGACGGUCGAGACCACUAAGAAGAGCAGCAGUCGGGAAUCUUCCGCAAGGGGCGAGAGUUUGACGGAGCAAUACCGCGUAAGUAAAAAAAGCCCUCGGAUCGUAAAAUGCUGUUAUAAGAAAAGAACAAAUGUGUAAGUAAAUAUGCACGACAUGACGGUAGCUAAUCAGAAAACCACGGCUAGCUACAAA